UAUGAGGACAGAGCCAGAAAAUAUGUGUUAAAGAACCAUCUGCACUUUUGCAUCUGUCACAUAAUGGAGAAAUAGCUGGGUAGAUUCGAUGUCAUUUGGUCUUUGAGUAAUGGAGUCUGUGGAUGACUUUAAACUGGAUCAGUUUAUACCUGACAUUGAUCGAACAAGUUUGGAUUCUGGUCAGACCUUCAUUCCAAAUGUCGUCAGACACCUCGAAAUUCAGCUCAGUAGACCAGGCUUUUUUCAGAUGGGUAGUGGAUACAGAGGUGGUGAAUAGACUCACAAAGCGAGAUAUUAGAUGUUUGGAGUCUGGAGGAAGCUGCAGGAGCUCAUAGAGUGGGCAACUGUCAGGCAUGGUUUGAAAAUUUGGAAUUUGAUCUUUAACGUAGUGCCUAAUUUGGAGAUAGCGAAAAAAAUGAGAGUUGGAAAGGUUAAAUUUUGAUUUCAGCUGAUUAAACAAAGCAAACUUUUUGUCAAUAUAUAGAUCUCUGAGGGUCGCAAGGCCCUUGUCCCUCCAGACAGCAAACACCCCAUCCGUCUGUGAUGGCAAAAAGGAGUGGUUGUGACAUAUGGGGGUGUAAAUAGAGACAUUUGACAAUGUACUGAAACUUCUUAUCUGAUUUAAAAUUCGAAUAGAAUUUCUUAAAAUAAAGUUCUCACCAA